GAUGAAGAACGUAGUGAAAUGCGAUAAGUAGUGUGAAUUGCAGACUUUAGUGAAUCAUCGAAUCUUUGAACGCACAUUGCGCUCCCUGGUAUUCCGGGGAGCAUGCCUGUUCGAGCGUCAUUACAACCCUCAAGCUCUGCUUGGUGUUGGGCCCCGCCGCCCCGGCGGGCCCUAAAGUCAGUGGCGGUGCCGUCCGGCUCCGAGCGUAGUAAUUUUUCUCGCUUUGGAGGCCCGGGCGCGUGCUUGCCAUCAACCCCCAAUUUUUUUCAGGUUGACCUCGGAUCAGGUAGGGAUACCCGCUGAACUUAAGCAUAUCAAUAAGCGGAGGA
rnacentral:misc_RNA from 1 species